GGCCGACUGGCCUAAUGGUCAAGGCGUCAGUUUCCGGUUUGUCGUUAGCUGAAGAUUCUGGGUUCGAAUCCCAGGUUGGUCG
rfam:Phanerochaete carnosa HHB-10118-sp unplaced genomic scaffold PHACAscaffold_3, whole genome shotgun sequence.